rnacentral:rRNA from 1 species
UACGUAGGCAGCGAGCGUUGUUCGGAGUUACUGGGCGUAAAGGGUGUGUAGGCGGUCCUCUAAGUUUGGUGUGAAAUCUCCCGGCUCAACCGGGAGGGUGCGCCGAAAACUGAAGGGCUAGAGUGCGGGAAGGGAGAGUAGAAUUCCUGGUGUAGCGGUGAAAUGCGUAGAUAUCAGGAGGAAUACCGGUGGUGCAGACGGCUCUCUGGGGCCGUAACUGACGCUGAGGAGCGAAAGCGUGGGGAGCGAACAGG